rnacentral:rRNA from 1 species
UACGGGGGGGGCAAGCGUUGUUCGGAAUUACUGGGCGUAAAGGGUUUGUAGGUGGCUUGUUAAGUCAGACGUGAAAUCCCUCAGCUUAACUGGGGAACUGCGUCUGAGACUGGUGAGCUUGAGUGCAGGAGAGGAACGCGGAAUUCCAGGUGUAGCGGUGAAAUGCGUAGAGAUGUGGAGGAAUACCGAUGGCGAAGGCAGCCCCCUGGGCCAGUACUGACGCUCAUGCACGAAAGCGUGGGGAGCAAACAGG